rnacentral:rRNA from 1 species
UACGGAGGGUGCAAGCGUUGUUCGGAAUUAUUGGGCGUAAAGAGCGUGUAGGCGGCCGAGUAAGUCAGAUGUGAAAGCCCUUGGCUUAACCAAGGAAGGGCAUUUGAAACUGCUUGGCUUGAGUACGGGAGGGGGAAGCGGAAUUCCCGGUGUAGAGGUGAAAUUCGUAGAUAUCGGGAGGAACACCGGUGGCGAAGGCGGCUUCCUGGACCGAUACUGACGCUGAGACGCGAAAGCGUGGGGAGCAAACAGG